GAUGAACGCUGGCGGUAUGCUUAACACAUGCAAGUCGUACGAAGACCUUCGGUCUUAGUGGCGGACGGGUGAGUAACACGUGAGAAUCCACCCUUAGGAAGAGGAUAACAGCUGGAAACGGUUGCUAAUACUCUAUACGCCGAGAGGUAAAAGGAUUUAUCCACCUUAGGAAGAGCUCGCAUCUGAUUAGCUUGUUGGUGAGGUAACGGCACACCAAGGCGACGAUCAGUAGCUGGUUUGAGAGGACGAUCAGCCACACUGGGACUGCGACACGGCCCAGACUCCUACGGGAGGCAGAAGUGGGGAAUUUUCCGAAAUGGGCGAAAGCCUGACGGAUCAAUACCGCGUGAGGGAUGAAAGCCUGUGGGUUGUAAACCUCUUUUCUCAAGGAAGAAGUUCUGACGGUACUUGAGGAAUAAGCAUCGGCUAACUCUGUGCCAGCAGCCGCCGUAACAC
rnacentral:rRNA from 1 species